UACAGAGGGUGCGAGCGUUAAUCGGAAUUACUGGGCGUAAAGCGUGCGUAGACGGUUAUUUAAGUCGGGUGUGAAAGCCCCGGGCUCAACCUGGGAAUUGCAUUCGAGACUGAAUAGCUAGGGUACGGUAGAGGGAAGUGGAAUUUCCGGUGUAGCGGUGAAAUGCGUAGAUAUCGGAAGGAACAUCAGUGGCGAAAGCGGGUCUCUGGGCCGUAACUGACGCUGAGGAGCGAAAGCAUGGGGAGCGAACAGG
rnacentral:rRNA from 1 species